rnacentral:rRNA from 1 species
AUUGAACGCUGGCGGCAUGCCUUACACAUGCAAGUCGAACGGUAACGCGGGGCAACCUGGCGACGAGUGGCGAACGGGUGAGUAAUAUAUCGGAACGUGCCCAGUAGUGGGGGAUAGCCCGGCGAAAGCCGGAUUAAUACCGCAUGAGACCUGCGGGUGAAAGCGGGGGAUCGCAAGACCUCGCGCUAUUGGAGCGGCCGAUAUCAGAUUAGCUAGUUGGUGGGGUAAAGGCCUACCAAGGCAACGAUCUGUAGUUGGUCUGAGAGGACGACCAGCCACACUGGGACUGAGACACGGCCCAGACUCCUACGGGAGGCAGCAGUGGGGAAUUUUGGACAAUGGGCGCAAGCCUGAUCCAGCAAUGCCGCGUGCAGGAAGAAGGCCUUCGGGUUGUAAACUGCUUUUGUCAGGGAAGAAAUCUUCUGGGUUAAUACCUCGGGAGGAUGACGGUACCUGAAGAAUAAGCACCGGCUAACUACGUGCCAGCAGCCGCAGUAAGAC